AGUGAACGCUGGCGGUAGGCCUAACACAUGCAAGUCGAACGGCAGCACAGUAAGAGCUUGCUCUUACGGGUGGCGAGUGGCGGUCGGGUGAGGAAUACAUCGGAAUCUACUUUUUCGUGGGGGAUAACGUAGGGAAACUUACGCUAAUACCGCAUACGACCUACGGGUGAAAGCAGGGGAUCUUCGGACCUUGCGCGAUUGAAUGAGCCGAUGUCGGAUUAGCUAGUUGGCGGGGUAAAGGCCCACCAAGACGACGAUCCGUAGCUGGUCUGAGAGGAUGAUCAGCCACACUGGAACUGAGACACGGUCCAGACUCCUACGGGAGGCAGCAGUGGGGAAUAUUGGACAAUGGGCGCAAGCCUGAUCCAGCCAUACCGCGUGGGUGAAGAAGGCCUUCGGGUUGUAAAGCCCUUUUGUUGGGAAAGAAAAGCAGCAGGUUAAUACCCCGCUGUUCUGACGGUACCCAAAGAAUAAGCACCGGCUAACUUCGUG
rnacentral:rRNA from 1 species